rnacentral:rRNA from 1 species
CGGAUGUUAGCGGCGGACGGGUGAGUAACACGUGGGUAACCUGCCUGUAAGACUGGGAUAACUCCGGGAAACCGGAGCUAAUACCGGAUAGUUCCUUGAACCGCAUGGUUCAAGGAUGAAAGACGGUUUCGGCUGUCACUUACAGAUGGACCCGCGGCGCAUUAGCUAGUUGGUGAGGUAACGGCUCACCAAGGCGACGAUGCGUAGCCGACCUGAGAGGGUGAUCGGCCACACUGGGACUGAGACACGGCCCAGACUCCUACGGGAGGCAGCAGUAGGGAAUCUUCCGCAAUGGACGAAAGUCUGACGGAGCAACGCCGCGUGAGUGAUGAAGGUUUUCGGAUCGUAAAGCUCUGUUGUUAGGGAAGAACAAGUGCAAGAGUAACUGCUUGCACCUUGACGGUACCUAACCAGAAAGCCACGGCUAACUACGUGCCAGCAGCCGCGGUAAUACGUAGGUGGCAAGCGUUGUCCGGAAUUAUUGGGCGUAAAGGGCUCGCAGGCGGUUUCUUAAGUCUGAUGUGAAAGCCCCCGGCUCAACCGGGGAGGGUCAUUGGAAACUGGGAAACUUGAGUGCAGAAGAGGAGAGUGGAAUUCCACGUGUAGCGGUGAAAUGCGUAGAGAUGUGGAGGAACACCAGUGGCGAAGGCGACUCUCUGGUCUGUAACUGACGCUGAGGAGCGAAAGCGUGGGGAGCGAACAGGAUUAGAUACCCUGGUAGUCCACGCCGUAAACGAUGAGUGCUAAGUGUUAGGGGGUUUCCGCCCCCUUAGUGCUGCAGCUAACGCAUUAAGCACUCCGCCUGGGGAGUACGGUCGCAAGACUGAAACUCAAAGGAAUUGACGGGGGCCCGCACAAGCGGUGGAGCAUGUGGUUUAAUUCGAAGCAACGCGAAGAACCUUACCAGGUCUUGACAUCCUCUGACAACCCUAGAGAUAGGGCUUUNCCUUCGGGNNNACAGAGUGACAGGUGGUGCAUGGUUGUCGUCAGCUCGUGUCGUGAGAUGUUGGGUUAAGUCCCGCAACGAGCGCAACCCUUGAUCUUAGUUGCCAGCAUUCAGUUGGGCACUCUAAGGUGACUGCCGGUGACAAACCGGAGGAAGGUGGGGAUGACGUCAAAUCAUCAUGCCCCUUAUGACCUGGGCUACACACGUGCUACAAUGGACAGAACAAAGGGCUGCGAGACCGCAAGGUUUAGCCAAUCCCACAAAUCUGUUCUCAGUUCGGAUCGCAGUCUGCAACUCGACUGCGUGAAGCUGGAAUCGCUAGUAAUCGCGGAUCAGCAUGCCGCGGUGAAUACG